rnacentral:rRNA from 1 species
UGGGGAUGGGCCUGCGGCGGAUUAGCUAGUUGGUGGGGUAACGGCCUACCAAGGCGAUGAUCCGUAGGGGGCGUGAGAGCGUGGCCCCCCACACUGGCACUGAGACACGGGCCAGACUCCUACGGGAGGCAGCAGUGAGGAAUAUUGCACAAUGGGCGCAAGCCUGAUGCAGCAACGCCGCGUGAGGGACGAAGGCCUUCGGGUCGUAAACCUCUUUUCUGGGGGACGAGUAAGGACGGUACCUCAGGAAUAAGUCUCGGCUAACUACGUGCCAGCAGCCGCGGUAAAACGUAGGAGGCGAGCGUUAUCCGGAUUUACUGGGCGUAAAGCGUACGCAGGUGGCUUCGUGAGUCGGACAUGAAAGCUCCCGGCUUAACUGGGAGAGGUUGUUCGAUACUGCGAGGCUUGAGGUUGGGAGAGGGACGUGGAAUUCCCGGUGUAGUGGUGGAAUGCGUAGAUAUCGGGAGGAACACCAGUGGCGCAAGCGGCGUCCUGGCCCACACCUGACGCUGAGGUACGAAAGCGUGGGUAGCAAACAGGAUUAGAUACCCUGGUAGUCCACGCUGUAAACGAUGUCAACUGGGUGUCGGUAGUUUUACACUAUCGGUGCCGAAGCCAACGCG